rnacentral:ribozyme from 1 species
AAAGAAGUUGAAAUGGAUGAGUAAGCGCUUGAUGCUUCCGUUCUUUUGUUGAUGUUUUUUUCUUUUUAGAUUUUUCUUUUCCCUUGUUUUUAUUCUAUUUCUGCUAGGAUGACUCCGUUUCUCUCUUUUAAGUUGGUUGUCUGUCCUCCUCAUCUCUUAAAGGAAAACAAGUGAGUAUAUUCCUUUCGACUUUGCUCAGGUCAAAAAAUAAACUUUCUUUCUAUGAAAAGAGACCUAAAAAAAAAACUUCAACACUGGU